rnacentral:rRNA from 1 species
AUGGAAACUAUGGAGGUAAAGAGAGCUUACCUGAAAACUGAGCAUGAUGGUUAUACUUUCAACGUCAAAGUAUACAAUGCACACACGUACACUUAUUUUGAAUGCAAAACUUGGCAAGCACUAUGCAAGGCUUAUGCAUUUGAGCCUGGUAUGGUUAUCACCUUUGAUAUUUGUCCGGAAAAUGAUAUUGAAGGUAAUAAAGACAUAUGGGUCGAUGUGCAGACGCCUUCAGUUCUACCAUUAUGUGAGUUCUUCUCAAAUAUAUUUUUGUCUUUGAUAUUGCUUAUUUCAAAAAUAACUGACAACUAA